GGAUUAGAUACCCUGGUAGUCCACGCCGUAAACGAUGUCUACUAGCCGUUGGGGAACUUGAUUCUUUAGUGGCGCAGCUAACGCACUAAGUAGACCGCCUGGGGAGUACGGUCGCAAGAUUAAAACUCAAAUGAAUUGACGGGGGCCCGCACAAGCGGUGGAGCAUGUGGUUUAAUUCGAUGCAACGCGAAGAACCUUACCAACUCUUGACAUCCAGAGAACUCGCUAGAGAUAGCUUGGUGCCUUCGGGAACUCUGAGACAGGUGCUGCAUGGCUGUCGUCAGCUCGUGUCG
rnacentral:rRNA from 1 species